GUGGGGUGACUGCGUACCUUUUGUAUAAUGGGUCAGCGACUUAUAUUCUGUAGCAAGGUUAACCGAAUAGGGGAGCCGGAGGGAAACCGAGUCUUAACCGGGCGUUAAGUUGCAGGGUAUAGACCCGAAACCCGGUGAUCUAGCCAUGGGCAGGUUGAAGGUUGGGUAACACUAACUGGAGGACCGAACCGACUAAUGUUGAAAAAUUAGCGGAUGACCUGUGGCUGGGGGUGAAAGGCCAAUCAAACCGGGAGAUAGCUGGUUCUCCCCGAAAGCUAUUUAGGUAGCGCCUCGUGAAUUCAUCUCCGGGGGUAGAGCACUGUUUCGGCUAGGGGGCCAUCCCGGCUUACCAACCCGAUGCAAACUGCGAAUACCGGAGAAUGUUAUCACGGGAGACACACGGCGGGUGCUAACGUCCGUCGUGAAGAGGGAAACAACCCAGACCGCCAGCUAAGGUCCCAAAGUCAUGGUUAAGUGGGAAACGAUGUGGGAAGGCCCAGACAGCCAGGAUGUUGGCUUAGAAGCAGCCAUCAUUUAAAGAAAGCGUAAUAGCUCACUGGUCGAGUCGGCCUGCGCGGAAGAUGUAACGGGGCUAAACCAUG
rnacentral:rRNA from 1 species